rnacentral:rRNA from 1 species
CCUACGGGAGGCAGCAGUGAGGAAUAUUGGUCAAUGGGCGCUAGCCUGAACCAGCCAAGUAGCGUGAAGGAUGACUGCCCUAUGGGUUGUAAACUUCUUUUAUAUGGGAAUAAAGUGCAGUAUGUAUACUGCUUUGCAUGUACCUUAUGAAUAAGGAUCGGCUAACUCCGUGCCAGCAGCCGCGGUAAUACGGAGGAUCCGAGUGUUAUCCGGAUUUAUUGGGUUUAAAGGGUGCGUAGGCGGGUUGUUAAGUCAGUUGUGAAAGUUUGCGGCUCAACCGUAAAAUUGCAGUUGAUACUGGCAGCCUUGAGUACAGUAGAGGUAGGCGGAAUGCGUGGUGUAGCGGUGAAAUGCUUAGAUAUCACGAAGAACUCCGAUUGCGAAGGCAGCCUGCUGGACUGUAACUGACGCUGAUGCUCGAAAGUGUGGGUAUCAAACAGGAUUAGAUACCCUUGUAGUC